rnacentral:lncRNA from 1 species
GGAUAGGUACUUAUGAAAAACGAGCUAGAAAGUAGGAUGUUUAGCGCUCAGAGGGGGUCUUACAGCCAGCCUCCAGUCUUCUCAGAGGAGGAGGCAGAGUGGAGUGGGGAUUAGGGUGUCCUUUCUGGGGCUAAGAGACAUCUGACAGUUUGAAGGGACAGGAGUCAGAGGAUAGGCUUCCUUCUGGUGGGAGAAUGGUGAGAUGAUGGAGAAAGCCCACCUAAGCUGAGUGUGCAGGAUGCAGGCAAUGGGGGAGACUGGUCUACAGAGAACAUGGAGAGAGGCAAUAAUCCAGGAGCAGUAGCAGGUACCUACUGGGUCAGCACUGUGGGUGGAAAUUACUGAUGGGAUUUGAUCAAUGUCUAGGAGGUAUAACUAGCAGGACUUAGGCUUGGUUUGGAUGAAGGAGUGGGUGAGGGACAGGGAGAAGUCAAUGAUGACUUCCGGUUUCUGGCUUCGAUGUGGGGGGUUGGUAAUGUCACCACUGAAAGCAGAAUACAAGGGAGGACUGAUUUGGAAAGGAAGAUAAGUAACAUCACAGACAUUUGAGUUGCCUAUGGCACUUGAGGCGGAUGGGUGAGAGACGUGUGAUAUCUUGGGCAAAUUAAUCUCUCUGGGUCUUGAUCUUCUUAUUUGUUUUUAUUUAUUUUUUAUGAAGUGCUGAGGAUCGAACCCACGGCCUCGCACGUGCUAGGCAAGUGCUCUACCACUGAGCCAAAACCCCAGCUU